UACGUAGGCAGCGAGCAUUGUUCGGAAUUACUGGGCGUAAAGAGUGUGUAGGCGGUGCUCUAAGUUCGGUGUGAAAUCUCCUGGCUCAACUGGGAGGGUGCGCCGGAAACUGGAGUGCUUGAGCGUGGGAGAGGAAAGCGGAAUUCCUGGUGUAGCGGUGAAAUGCGUAGAUAUCAGGAGGAACACCUGUGGUGUAGACGGCUUUCUGGACCAUAGCUGACGCUGAGACACGAAAGCGUGGGUAGCAAACAGG
rnacentral:rRNA from 1 species